UACGGAGGGGGCUAGCGUUGUCCGGAUUUACUGGGCGUAAAGAGCGCGCAGGCGGAAGCUUAAGUGUGGCCUGAAAGCCCCCGGCUCAACCGGGGAAGGUGGCUGCAAACUGGGCUUCUUGAGGGCGAUAGAGGAGGGUGGAAUUCCUGGUGUAGCGGUGAAAUGCGUAGAUAUCAGGAGGAACACCAAUAGCGAAGGCAGCUCGCUGGGACGUUACUGACACUGAGGCGCGAAAGCGUGGGGAGCGAACAGG
rnacentral:rRNA from 1 species